rnacentral:rRNA from 1 species
UGUUUCGGCUAGGGGGUCAUCCCGACUUACCAACCCGAUGCAAACUACGAAUACCGAAGAAUGUUAUCACGGGAGACACACGGCGGGUGCUAACGUCCGUCGUGAAGAGGGAAACAACCCAGACCGCCAGCUAAGGUCCCAAAGUCACAGUUAAGUGGGAAACGAUGUGGGAAGGCACAGACAGCCAGGAUGUUGGCUUAGAAGCAGCCAUCAUUUAAAGAAAGCGUAAUAGCUCACUGGUCGAGUCGGCCUGCGCGGAAGAUGUAACGGGGCUAAACUGUGCAC